rnacentral:tRNA from 1 species
UCAGCCGUGGUCCGCGGCGGCGGGUUUUCGAUGCUGUAGCCAUCGAGCCAUGCACCCGGCUGGUCCAGGGCCAGCGCGUUGACCC